CGCUCUCUAAUUGCCUCCUCUCUCUCCCCAUCAAUCGCCGUCCGAUCAAAAGGAGGUGGCGGAAUAGUCCCUCUCUCUCUCUCUCUAAAACUUCCUGCAGGAGAGGUACAAAGCGCAAGAGAAUAUGCUUUGCUCCUAGCACUUCUCACCCGACUUCAACCUCCCCUUCACUAUUUUCCUUCCCUUCCUUUCUUUCUCUUCCUCCCCACGUCUUGUUGACAGAGAGAGAGAGAGAGAGAUGGAGGUGUUGCAGGAGAUUUUUCUGACGGCCUUCUUCUCCCUCCUGUUCGCUUUCCUCCUCGCGAAGCUCGUCUCUGUGGCCGCGGACUCCGACAAGGAGACCCGGAAGCAGACCACGACUGACGAUGAUCUGCCCGCAGUGGUUGGAGAGAGGCUGUUCGGUCGUGCUAUGGAAACGGUCCCGGCGACGUUGGAAGGAGGUGAGAGCCGCCAGGUGGCGGCUCUUGAAUUCGCGAAGGAGGAGAAGGAGGCGGCGAGGUUUGGGGACGUUGUAUACGAGGGGGUGAGGGAGACGACGGAGACGGUGGUGGUUCGUGAGUUGCCGGAAUUCGGGACCGGAGGGGGUGAAGGUUGUGGUUUGCAACGGGUUUUCGAGGGGGGAGACGCGGAGGAGGAGAAGGGCGGGGUCGUCGCACUAGAGGAGGAGGAGAAGCGGGAUGUCCUUGGGGGUCACGUGUCGGAGUUGGCUUCUUCACCUUCGGAUGUGAUUAGUGAAGAAAAAUUGGCGGUCGAAGAGCAAACCAAGGGAGGACAAUCCCCACCUGCGUUGUCGGCGGAGAUGAUGGAGACAGAGGAUCGUGGUGACAAGUCUGUAGCUGGUGAACUGCGCGAGAUUGGAACGACGGACGUUUGCAAAGAAGAAACUGCAGAGAAGCAGCCGAAUGUUGCUCGUGAAUUUGAUCUCGAAUCGCCGAAGGAGGCCGAAGAAAAGGAAGGAAGCGGCAAGAAGGGUGAAGCAGGAGAGUCUGAAGCACAUGGGCAGGGAGGAGAGAUUAGUGACGAGGAGGAUUGGGAAGGGAUCGAGAGAAGCGAAGUGUCUAAGCAAUUCAGUGUUGCAGAGAGGUUCAUUGCUUCUCCCAACGGCAACGAGAUGUUAUCCAAGUUGGAAAACGAUGUUCAAAUGCAACUGUACGGGCUGCAGAAGGCGGCCACAGAAGGGCCCUGCUAUGAGUCUUCGCCCUCGGCACUGAAGCCGGGUGCUCGUGCAAAGUGGAAUGCUUGGCAAAAGGUGGGGAGCAUAAGUCCGGAGAUGGCAAUGGAGCAGUAUAUUGCACUUCUUUCUGAAAGCAUUCCCGAGUGGAGAGCCUCAGUAUCACUGGGGAAUCAAGACUAUGAUGGAAUGGUAGCACCUGUACUGGCAACUCCAGAUUCAAGCUCAUCUACAGGUCACAACACAAUCUUAGAUGCCCAAAGAAAGGUAAACGUUCACGCAUGCAAUGUUGGAGGCACUGAUUCUCCUGUGUUAAAGUUCACAGAAAGGAGCAGUCAUAUGGAUUCACCUGGCCAGUUGAUCUUGAGAUAUACGAGAUCUUAGAUAGAUAACAACUUUAAAGUUUUACUGCACAGCAAUUAGCCAGUUAUGGCAUCGAGCAUGCAGUAGAUUCUUCUUCAGUCUAAUCAUUCCCAGCCUUGAGGACACUGCCUGGUUUCUGGACUCUCUGAGGCCCUGGAGUAUUCGUCAAGGAUAACAACCCAUGCCUAUCUGCAUGGUAUGUCAAAGUGUUGAUAAUUGUGGUAUUGUGUACAUGGUCUAGUUUGUUCCAAGUUAAUAACCUCCAGGACAUAAUUCUGGAAGCAACUGAUUGGUGUUAUGCAUGUGAUUAUGAAUAUACGUGCUCUCUUUCUCAGGAAAAUCAGAUUUAUUGAUUA